ensembl:lncRNA
CUGAAAUCAACGUGUUUGGUUAAAACCGCCUAAGAGCAUUUGUCUUCUAGAGAAGCUGCAGUUCCUGUGUGCAGCAGAUCAGGAGUGAAGACAAGUGUUGGCAAACUGGAGUGAGCUCAGUGCAAGGCCAUGGAGGUGGUCGUGACGCAUUUGAGGAGAGAAGGAAGGAACCAGGAUUCUUCAGCCUGGAGGGCAGAUGUUCCAGGUAUAACUGCAGUGCUUGUUUCAAUUUCAUUUCACAUCUGCCAGGAUACAAAAGUGAAGUUUUUACCUCUUUCACCUCCUUUUGAUCUCUGUGUAGAGGAUCUCUGCAUACCGUCUGCUGUUGUUAAGUCCCAGCCUAACCUGAGUACAGGCCUUCUGGACAUGGUUCAUUCUGCAAGUGUCCUGCAAAAUGUAAUCAAAGGAACUGAGAAUGAUUUAGACCAGAAGGCACCACUGCAGUCCAACCUGGCUCCAACAGGGCUAACAACAAAGACAGAUGAGGUUCCUACAUUCCCACUGAGUACUGAAUAUCUCCAAACAUGGAUAUCCCACCAUCUCUCUGGAUGCUUUCCCACAUUUACACUUCUCUUGUUGGGAAGACCUGUUACUGUUUUCUGAAAAACCUCUCUUAAACCUGAGGUUCCCAAAGUGGACUCCAUUCUAGAAGCAACCUGAUGAGCAUCAAGAAGCAGAGGGAGAGCCUCCAUAAGCUUGCAAGGAUAACUCAGUCCCUGGUCAGCCACUGAGGCCACAGAGUCCUUGGAUAACACGUGUGCUGGCUGUCCACCAGGGCUGCAGAGCUCAACAGUCUGUGGUUCCCGUCCUGCACCGCUAUGGGCUCAUCCCAGCCAGGGGCAGGACACUGGGCUGUGACUACCAGGAGCCCGUUUCUGCAGCCUGCUGAG